UCCCAGUUUCUGAAAAGCUAGUUUGAGUUUACACAGUAUUGAGCAAAACAUUAAACAUUCUGCCCUUGGGUCUGUUAUGUCAGAAGCAAACACAGAUGUGAAUACUGUGAUACAUCUCUGCAUUUCUCCUCACAGCUCAUGUUUUGGAUUCCUUAUCUGCAGCAGUAAGCAGUUCUCAAUUAACUCCUCCUGCUGUUUGUGAGAAAAAUGUAUAACAAGCCUGGAUCCCACUGGUCAUACGGGAUUAUUUCAAGAGUUUACAUUACAAUUGCUUCUGAACUGUUUCUCCAGUCAUUGAACACUGCUGGACAAAGAUGUCGGGAAAAGCAAAUCCCUGGUCUUCCUGAACAAUUCCUUCUUCAGACACACAGCCACAAGGGUUCAAAGGUCCCUGCGGCCUUUGUUCUCAGUUCCAGAGUAGUUACAAACAAACUUUUGUUCCUGUUUCUUCAAUGAAAUAAGCUGCAGCAGUUACCAAUGACUGAACUUUACAUCUGAAGCUUGCUUUGUCCAUCAUGCAACAGGAGGACUACAGAAUCUCAUUUACACUUCCAAAAAUAAGUUAUCAGAACUUUUGCUGAAAUAAAAAUCAACUACUCCUUACUGAUUCAACCCCCAGUGAACAUAUUAAACCUCUGCAUAUUCCAGAAGCAAAGAAGGAGCAACACAUUCUGGUUUACAGAUUAUUUUGGUUUCAAAAAAUUCAAAAUAAUUAAAAAAUAAUUCUUUUUGGUUUAUCUUAUAGCUAUUGCUCAUUCAUUUGGGAGUUUUAUAAAAAACCUAAACUUCAUAUUUUAGUACAAAAGUGGUAUCAUAAUCAAUACAUAUAAGUACACAUAUAUAAGCAUUAAUAACAAAUCAUGACACCCAAACAGCAAUUUUCAUUUCUGUCACAGACAGAGUGUAAGGGAUAAGAUAAUAAUCAUAAGGGCAAGUUAUGGAGAGCAGCUACUUAAAUGUAUUCAUAGUCCAUGAAAAGUUGAUAUGGAAAUUGUUGAUAAAAUUUGUAAAUAUUCCAUUGUAUCAGCUGCUAUGUAAAUUUGGGGGUAAGAACAAGCAAGAUUAUCAAGCAAGAUAAUAGUAUUUUUGAAGUAAAAAUAAAUUUUAAAAACUACUUAAA